rnacentral:rRNA from 1 species
UUUUAUGGAGAGUUUGAUCCUGGCUCAGGAUGAACGCUGGCGGCGUGCCUAAUACAUGCAAGUCGAGCGAACGGACGAGAAGCUUGCUUCUCUGAUGUUAGCGGCGGACGGGUGAGUAACACGUGGAUAACCUACCUAUAAGACUGGGAUAACUUCGGGAAACCGGAGCUAAUACCGGAUAAUAUUUUGAACCGCAUGGUUCAAAAGUGAAAGACGGUCUUGCUGUCACUUAUAGAUGGAUCCGCGCUGCAUUAGCUAGUUGGUAAGGUAACGGCUUACCAAGGCAACGAUACGUAGCCGACCUGAGAGGGUGAUCGGCCACACUGGAACUGAGACACGGUCCAGACUCCUACGGGAGGCAGCAGUAGGGAAUCUUCCGCAAUGGGCGAAAGCCUGACGGAGCAACGCCGCGUGAGUGAUGAAGGUCUUCGGAUCGUAAAACUCU